rnacentral:pre_miRNA from 1 species
AGGAGGAACAAUCCCAGUGGCUGUGGCAGCUCUGGAAACCUGGAUUCAGCUCCAGCAGUAACUACAGAGCUCUCCGCCUGCAAGGCCUGGAGGCUCCGGGACGGG